rnacentral:rRNA from 1 species
CCUACGGGCGGCAGCAGUGGGGAAUAUUGGACAAUGGGGGCAACCCUGAUCCAGCCAUGCCGCGGGUGUGAAGAAGGCCCUCGGGUUGUAAAGCACUUUCAGUGAGGAAGAACGCCUGGUGGUUAAUACCCAUCGGGAAAGACAUCACUCACAGAAGAAGCACCGGCUAACUCCGUGCCAGCAGCCGCGGUAAUACGGAGGGUGCGAGCGUUAAUCGGAAUUACUGGGCGUAAAGCGCGCGUAGGUGGCUUGAUAAGCCGGUUGUGAAAGCCCCGGGCUCAACCUGGGAACGGCAUCCGGAACUGUCAAGCUAGAGUGCAGGAGAGGAAGGUAGAAUUCCCGGUGUAGCGGUGAAAUGCGUAGAGAUCGGGAGGAAUACCAGUGGCGAAGGCGGCCUUCUGGACUGACACUGACACUGAGGUGCGAAAGCGUGGGUAGCAAACAGGAUUAGAUACCCUAGUAGUC